rnacentral:snoRNA from 1 species
GAGUACCGAUGUGACGGCACGUAUUAGCCGAAUCCAGAGUUGACGUAAAUUCUAAAAUGACAGUGACCUUGA